ACUUCCUGCUGCUCUGCACCAAUCCGCGUCCGGCUGGUCUGAGGAAUCCCCGGGGCCGCGCGCGACGUGAGGGUGGAGGACGUCUGGGCUGGGCCGCGCGGGGGCCGGGGAGGUGGCGGCGGGCGGGACAUCGGGGACCCCGGCCGCGGGGCCUCGCGGAGCGAAAAGGGCCUCAGAACGGGUGGCCGGGUGGGUGCUGGGGGGGUAACGCGGGUAGGGGUGCCGUGCGCAAAGGGGAGAAGCGGGGACAGGACGACGGGCACAGGUAGGAGGAGUGAGGGACACUGCGCCACAGGAGAAGGGCUCCUCUCGGGGGAAAGGGAGAGGCUGCGGGGAGGCGAGGGGAGGAGGGAAGGCGGGUGCGCAGGAGCCCUGAGCCCGGCGAGUUUGCACUCCUGCGCCGCUUCUGGGCUCCCCCAGCUGCCUCGGAGGUCGCACCUGCGGGACGGGACGAGCCGUCAGCCCGGCCACGUGUGUGGGGGUGUGUGUGGAUGUGAGUGACCGAAGCAAAUGCCGCCUCAGCGGUUUUGUGUAGUUGAACGUGAAAUUCUGAUGAAUGCAAUCCCCAGCCAAAAAGAAAAAUGGUGCACAGUGUGUCAGAUCGAAUGUGCUGCAUUGUGGAAGGCACAUGCUGCAGCAGGUGUCACAGAGAAUCAACAUUGGGAGGCCUGGCGAGCAGUUCAUCUGUCUCCAGAGAGCCACACUACUGUCGGACCCUGGGACUGCAAUGGUCAAGGUAAGCAUUCUGCCAGCGUACCUGCUUAUCUUCAUAUACGGAGAAGAGAAUUCCAACACCCAGCUAUUUCUAUAUUUCUGAAAUAAAGAUAUCAAUUUGAAUGUAUCCCUGAUAAAAAAUUAGCGUUAAAAGUUACCAACUAAAAGCUAUCUAGUAAAAUCUGGUAAAUGGGAGCCUGCACACCUCAUGAAGGACGGGUUACUCACACAUGCAAGAACUGUUCCUGAUCAGUGACAGCCGGACUCUGAGGUGGUCCCUUGAUCUUCCCUCCUAGUAAUCCAGCCUUUGUGUAAUCCCAUCCCCCCUCUAAAAAACUUUUUUACUGUGGUAAAAUAUACUCAACGUAAAAAUAACCAUUUUAACCGUUGUUAAAUGAACAGUGCAGUGAUAUUAAUGCAGUGCAUUUAUAAUGUGAAGCCAUCUCCAUCUCCAUCUCUCUCCACUUUACAGAACUGAAAUUCUGUCCCCCUUAAACAAUAGCUCCCCGUUUCCCUCCACCACCAGCCUUUGACAUCUACCAUUUUACCUUCUGUCUUUAUGACUUUAACUAUUCUAAGACCAUCAUGUAAGUGGAAUCAUACAGUUUUUGU